rnacentral:lncRNA from 1 species
UUAAAAUUGUUAUAAUCAUUGUAAUAACUAUCAAUUAUUUAAAAUUGUUACAAUGAUUCUAAGAAGUAUUAAUUAUUUAGAAUUGCUAUAAUAAUUCUGUGACUGUUAAUUCCUCAACUUUCUUACCACCCUUCUAAUAUCUACCAAUUGUUUGAACUCCGUGUUGUCGAGCGUGGGAAGCCCCGUGGAGGGGCCGCGUCUCCCGUGUGAUUUCGCGUCGUUUCCGCGCAGGAAGGAACUUUUGUUGACUGACUUCGGGAGGAAGAGAUGUUUGUUGACUGACUCCGGGAGGAAGUGGAUGGAAUGGGGGUGGCGGGGGAGCAGACAGGGUGUUUGCAGCUGUGAUGAAGGGGAGGAUGGAGCGGAGGGCUU